UCAAAUUCUAAACUGGCAAACCUACGAAACCGUUGCUCUCGAGGCGUUGCAUAAAGGUGUAAAUCUUCGAGGUCUGAUCUGUUCUCUGUAACCGUCUCCUUGGCAGCGGCCGCCACAGGGAUGGGGAGCAGCGCCCGAGCUCCGCCCGCCUCGGCGGCUGCCGGCUGCCGGGAUGGCUCCCGCCGCCGCUCGGACAGCUGAUAGCCCGCGUAGCCGGCGAGAGCCGCCCCCGCCGCCCAGCCCAGCUCCCGCCGCCACCUCCUCGGCCCGGCCGGCCCGGCCCCGCCGCCGGCCCACAGCCGCCGUGCCGACGGGGCGCUAGGUG
rnacentral:lncRNA from 1 species